rnacentral:rRNA from 1 species
GGGACCCGCACAAGCAGCGGAGCGUGUGGUUUAAUUCGUUGCUACACGAAGAACCUUACCUGGGUUUGACAUAUAGGUUGUAGGGAACUGAAAGGGACCGACCCUUCGGGGAGCCUAUACAGGUGUUGCAUGGCUGUCGUCAGCUCGUGUCGUGAGAUGUUCGGUUAAGUCCGCUAACGAGCGCAACCCUCGUCGUAUGUUAUAUGUGUCAUACGAGACUGCCGGUAAAAGCCGGAGGAAGGUGAGGAUGAUGUCAAGUCAGCAUGACCUUUAUAUCCAGGGCUACACACACGCUACAAUGGUCUGUACAAUGGGUAGCCAAGCCGCGAGGCGGAGCCAAUCCUGAAAGCAGGCCUCAGUUCAGAUUGCAGUCUGCAACUCGACUGCAUGAAGCCGGAGUUGCUAGUAACCGCAGGUCAGCAAUACUGCGGUGAAUACGUUCCCGGGGCUU